rnacentral:rRNA from 1 species
GUGGUCUGGCGGCGUGCUAUACAUGCAAGUCGAGCGAACAGACGAGGAGCUUGCUCCUCUGACGUUAGCGGCGGACGGGUGAGUAACACGUGGAUAACCUACCUAUAAGACUGGGAUAACUUCGGGAAACCGGAGCUAAUACCGGAUAAUAUAUUGAACCGCAUGGUUCAAUAGUGAAAGACGGUUUUGCUGUCACUUAUAGAUGGAUCCGCGCCGCAUUAGCUAGUUGGUAAGGUAACGGCUUACCAAGGCAACGAUGCGUAGCCGACCUGAGAGGGUGAUCGGCCACACUGGAACUGAGACACGGUCCAGACUCCUACGGGAGGCAGCAGUAGGGAAUCUUCCGCAAUGGGCGAAAGCCUGACGGAGCAACGCCGCGUGAGUGAUGAAGGUCUUCGGAUCGUAAAACUCUGUUAUUAGGGAAGAACAAAUGUGUAAGUAACUAUGCACGUCUUGACGGUACCUAAUCAGAAAGCCACGGCUAACUACGUGCCAGCAGCCGCGGUAAUACGUAGGUGGCAAGCGUUAUCCGGAAUUAUUGGGCGUAAAGCGCGCGUAGGCGGUUUUUUAAGUCUGAUGUGAAAGCCCACGGCUCAACCGUGGAGGGUCAUUGGAAACUGGAAAACUUGAGUGCAGAAGAGGAAAGUGGAAUUCCAUGUGUAGCGGUGAAAUGCGCAGAGAUAUGGAGGAACACCAGUGGCGAAGGCGACUUUCUGGUCUGUAACUGACGCUGAUGUGCGAAAGCGUGGGGAUCAAACAGGAUUAGAUACCCUGGGAGUCCACGCCGUAACGAUGAGUGCUAAGUGUUAGGGGGUUUCCGCCCUUUAGUGUUGCAGCUAA